AAGGGGUGUGGUGUUUGACAGUAUGAGAGGAAAGUGAAAUAUCACAUGAUCAGAGGCAUGCUGAAACAGGUUCUCAUCUGGUGAGGAUAAAAUCCUUGGUGGAGACACUUCUUAAGAUUAUUUAACAGUAAGAAAGCAGUGAAAAUAUUCCAAAAUUGUAAGCCAUUAACUCCAUAACAGAUAUAAAAUGAAAUGAAAGCACUUCUGGAAUAUGGAAUUGGAAGUGAGCAAAGUCAAGAAGAAAAAAACGUAGAAACGAAUCGAGAUGUCAAGGAAAUCAAGGCCCGCGCGAUGAUGAUGGAAGAGAAAAAAAGACGUACCAAGUUCAUUCAUCGACAGUAGGUUUGAUCACCUGAAAAGGAAGAUUCAUCGUGGCAAGAUCGUGUGUCCAUCAAAACUUGGUAACAAUGGAAAGCAAUAGAAGCCCAAAAAAGACUAUCACCACACGGUAGCCGUGCGUUAAGCCAAAACCCUUAUACAUUGUGGAAAUAAGGCAAAACAGGAAGAUGGUUUCCUUUUGGGUUUGAUAAAUGUCAGUGAAAUAUUCGAAAUGCGGUUGACUUCUUUGCAGGAAAAUCGAACUUUGCGUACUCGAUGAUGACUCUUUUCACCUGAAAUAUCAUUAUUUUGAAACUAGAAUAGUGGAUCUAUCCAAGAAGGAGUAAUCGGAGUGGUAAGAGGCAUGAAAAAAAACAAAAAUCCUGUUCGAUUUGAGCCCAAUGUACUGGGGGCGUGUGGAGUGGUCGCCAUAGCUCUUCAUGUCCGUUUCACACCUCGCUUGUGCAUGGAAUUACUGUUCCACGCGACUGACUCACCAAAACGAAACCAAACAACUUCUGUCAAUUGAAACUAGAAUAUAUGGGGAGUAUUCCACGGACUAGUACUCUUAGAAUGUGCCUACAUUGGAAAUAUAAGGCGUAGAUAUAGGAAGAACAAACAUGGACUCACCCUCAUAACAUCAGCAUCGCGGUCUUCCAUAUGCGUUGGUAAGCCUUCUAGUCGAUGUCGACUUACUUCAAGCAAGUCUGUGGAAGGCCGAUCAAGCGGAUGCUUGACGUCGAUUUCCACCGACAUUGUGUCCUUUUCUGUUUGUCUCUUCGCUUGAUUUUGAGGCGAUUUACUCAACGAGCGAACGAGCUUCGAACGCAGCUAAGUUAUCAGACAGAGAUACGGUGAGACGCCCAAAACUGGGCACGACUUGAUGAUAUUCCAUCCGACUCUUUUCAGGGAAGUAUUUAUAAUCAGCCGACCAAUCACAGGCCAGUAUUCAUUGGGUUAUGGGUAACACACACCUUUCUCCAGACCCUAGCGAUUUCAAAUGUAUAAAUUUUUAACUUCAAAUGAAUAAAAUGAUUUGGUGGGGAAUAAUAUUGCAUUUGCAUCUAAAUUUUUCAAAAAUUUUCUGUUAAACCUUUAAGUGACCUCUAGCUGAGUUGAUAUAAACAUUAACAUAACAAAAUAUUAACUACAAAGGUCAAAUUCCGCAAGGAACAAUUAUAUUUAAUUUUAAUUUUUUAUUAUUAGCAAAGACCACUGGAAUUGUUUUUUUUUUGGUGGGUUUCACUGGUUCAAUAAUAGCAGUGAGCUAUAUCUUGCUCUUAUACUAAUGGGCAACGUGAAAGGAUGCUAGCCAAUAAUGAUUUUUUCCGAGUGACAUUGUCGUGUCAUUUUGAUAAUUGCCAUCACAUUUGCAUGAUUUACGGGGAAUUCAAAAAACUAAUUCCGCUACUUUCUACUCCCAUUGUAUUCGUGUAUUGACAUGGAUAAUAAUAAAAAUGUUUAACAUCUUAGAUCUUCCCGUGGCUCCAUAAAGGCGGAUUUUUCUUCGAAUUUACGUCAGAUUUGCAUUAUUUACUGGGAAUUCGAAAAACUAAUCCCGCUAUUUCCCCCUCCCGUGGUAUUUUUGUAUAAUGACAUGGAAAAUAAUAAAAAUGUUGGGCAUUUUAGAUCUUCGCAUGGCUCUAGAGACUCGGAUUUUUCUUCGAAUUUUCAGUUUCUUUCGCAUCAAUUUUAGUUACGCGUCAUCAUUCCUCUCACCAUUUUUUGCGAUUGGUUGUGGAUAACCUUCGAACGCAGCUCGUGCUUGUUCGUUGGUCCAGAUACUUUAUUAGAACAGGCCAAUGAUUAUGGUCAAACAGACCCUAAAGUGAUCCAGGCAGUCAGGUGAAUUAAUGAAAGGGUGAUUAAUUGACUAGCUAAUAUUUUUGCCAUUGUCUGUGUGCAAGCAUUCGUGGAGUAGGACCUAUUGAUAUGUAAACCAGAGGAGCAUUUCUAUAGAUUCUUAAAAGACUAUUUAAUGAGAAACUUUGACACCUAGUGAUUAGCUCUGUUAUGCUGACAUGUAUAAAAGAAUAGUUGCAGCAAAGACGCGGAGUCAAGAUGCAGCGCCGUAGCCACGGACCAACUUUCGGGGAAAAAUAUAAGAAAAAUAAAAUAAAAAAUGUAAGAAAAACCGAAAGCCCUCGAAAGCCGAACCAAUCAGAAAUUUGUGGCUACGGCCCUGAGAUGAUUAUGUGCGUGAUCUCUUAGAACGAAUGCACCCUUUUAAAAAUUGUCUUGAAUGCGAUGCUAACAUAUACGAAAGAAAUCCCACAAGUUCCAUCGAGGAAAAAGUGUGAUUUCUUUUGUAUCAUAUCAUGUAGUCUCGCAUCCAUCACGAUACUUUGAGAAGGAUCAAUUACCAUAGAUGAUGGGGGCCGGGAAUAUCACUCCUCAUCAUUAUCAUUUUGCCCAUCGCCGGAGACACGUACCUUUAUUCAGAUGAGGACACGUAACAUUCCGGUCAUUGACCAGUUGAAGUCAAACUACUAUCUAUCUAUAUGAGCGUCCAUGUAGCGGCUAGUUAUCGAAGACUGAAAGGAGGAAAACCUCAAUAAGCGACCAACCUCUUUAGUGACCACUGAAUAUCUAGAAGGUGACCGCUUACUAGAAACUGAGUAUACAGGUUUGGGUCGAGCUACUGUUUCGGACCGUCUGAUCGGAACUAACAGGUGUAGAUUAUAUAUGUUGAAGUUACACAAGGUUUCCAGGCCUGUUUCAUUUCAAGCAAAGGGUCAAAACCUGGCUUUUUCAACAAGCAUUUUAUUAGUAGUUUUAUUCAGAUAUCUAUGUUUUUACUUUUCAACAAACUUUAAUAAUCCUUAUUAUUAUGUAUAAAAGCCAAUUAAUGUUGAAAGUUAUUUCAAUCAUUGAUUCAUAAUUUUAUGUAAAAAAGAUGUCUAUCAAAUA